GACGAACGCUGGCGGCGUGCUUAACACAUGCAAGUCGAACGAUGAAGCCAGCUUGCUGGUGGAUUAGUGGCGAACGGGUGCGUAACACGUGGGUGAUCUGCCCCAAACUUUGGGAUAAGCCUGGGAAACUGGGUCUAAUACCGAAUAUGACCGAUACUCGCAUGGGUGUUGGUGGAAAGCUCCGGCGGUUUGGGAUGGGCCCGCGGCCUAUCAGCUUGUUGGUGGGGUAAUGGCCUACCAAGGCGACGACGGGUAGCCGGCCUGAGAGGGCGACCGGCCACACUGGGACUGAGACACGGCCCAGACUCCUACGGGAGGCAGCAGUGGGGAAUAUUGCACAAUGGGCGCAAGCCUGAUGCAGCGACGCCGCGUGAGGGAUGACGGCCUUCGGGUUGUAAACCUCUUUCACCAGGGACGAAGCGAAAGUGACGGUACCUGGAGAAGAAGCACCGGCCAACUACGUG
rnacentral:rRNA from 1 species